GAUGAACGCUGGCGGCGUGCCUAAUACAUGCAAGUCGAGCGAACAGAUGAGGAGCUUGCUCCUCUGACGUUAGCGGCGGACGGGUGAGUAACACGUGGAUAACCUACCUAUAAGACUGGGAUAACUUCGGGAAACCGGAGCUAAUACCGGAUAAUAUAUUGAACCGCAUGGUUCAAUAGUGAAAGACGGUUUUGCUGUCACUUAUAGAUGGAUCCGCGCCGCAUUAGCUAGUUGGUAAGGUAACGGCUUACCAAGGCAACGAUGCGUAGCCGACCUGAGAGGGUGAUCGGACACACUGGAACUGAGACACGGUCCAGCCUCCUACGGGAGGCAGCAGUAGGGAAUUUUCCGCAAUGGGCGAAAGCCUGACGGAGCAACGCCGCGUGAGUGAUGAAGGUCUUCGGAUCGUAAAACUCUGUUAUUAGGGAAGAACAAAUGCGUAAGUAACUAUGCACGUCUUGACGGUACCUAAUCAGAAAGCCACGGCUAACUACGUG
rnacentral:rRNA from 1 species